rnacentral:misc_RNA from 1 species
UUAACUAUUAUAUAGUACUCAGACAUCACUAAAAACAGAGUUUGUUUCCUCUGGCAGGCACACACGAGCCGAAGCCCAUGGUGUUUCCACGGCCUGCCAAAGCAACUAAGGUAUAAUAUUCAAGGGUGGGAGAUCUACCCGUAAGGGCAUGAACUCUGUAAUGAUCCUUCCGCAGGUUCACCUACGGAAA